UACGUAGGGUGCGAGCGUUGUCCGGAAUUAUUGGGCGUAAAGGGCUCGUAGGCGGUUUGUCGCGUCGGGAGUGAAAACUCAGGGCUUAACCCUGAGCCUGCUUCCGAUACGGGCAGACUAGAGGUAUGCAGGGGAGAACGGAAUUCCUGGUGUAGCGGUGAAAUGCGCAGAUAUCAGGAGGAACACCGGUGGCGAAGGCGGGACUCUGGGCCGAUACUGACGCUGAGGAGCGAAAGCGUGGGGAGCGAACAGG
rnacentral:rRNA from 1 species